rnacentral:rRNA from 1 species
GACGAACGCUGGCGGCGUGCUUAACACAUGCAAGUCGAACGGAAAGGCCCUGCUUUUGUGGGGUGCUCGAGUGGCGAACGGGUGAGUAACACGUGAGUAACCUGCCCUUUACUUUGGGAUAACUUCAGGAAACUGUGGCUAAUACCGGAUAGGAGCUCCUGCUGCAUGGUGGGGGUUGGAAAGUUUCGGCGGUUGGGGAUGGACUCGCGGCUUAUCAGCUUGUUGGUGGGGUAGUGGCUUACCAAGGCUUUGACGGGUAGCCGGCCUGAGAGGGUGACCGGCCACAUUGGGACUGAGAUACGGCCCAGACUCCUACGGGAGGCAGCAGUGGGGAAUAUUGCACAAUGGGCGGAAGCCUGAUGCAGCAACGCCGCGUGCGGGAUGACGGCCUUCGGGUUGUAAACCGCUUUCGCCUGUGACGAAGCGUGAGUGACGGUAAUGGGUAAAGAAGCACCGGCUAACUACGUG